rnacentral:rRNA from 1 species
UACGUAGGGUGCAAGCGUUGUCCGGAAUUAUUGGGCGUAAAGAGCUCGUAGGCGGUCUGUCGCGUCGGCUGUGAAAACUCGGGGCUCAACCCCGAGCCUGCAGUGGGUACGGGCAGACUAGAGUGUGGUAGGGGAGACUGGAAUUCCUGGUGUAGCGGUGAAAUGCGCAGAUAUCAGGAGGAACACCGGUGGCGAAGGCGGGUCUCUGGGCCGAUACUGACGCUGAGGAGCGAAAGCGUGGGGAGCGAACAGG